rnacentral:rRNA from 1 species
CUAAGAAUAUUCCGCAAUGGACGAAAGUCUGACGGAGCGACGCCGCGUGGAUGAUGAAGGCCGGAAGGUUGUAAAAUCCUUUUAUGACUGAGGAAUAAGUGAAGUGAGGGAAACGCUUCAUGGUGACUGUAGGUCAUGAAUAAGCAUCGGCUAACUCCGUGCCAGCAGCCGCGGUAAUACGGAGGAUGCGAGCGUUAUCCGGAUUUAUUGGGUUUAAAGGGUGCGCAGGCGGGCGUCUAAGUCAGCGGUGAAAGUUCCCGGCUCAACCGGGUCAGUGCCGAUGAUACUGGGGGCCUUGAAUGCGGUCGAGGCCGGCGGAAUGUGGCGUGUAGCGGUGAAAUGCAUAGAUAUGCCACAGAACACCGAUAGCGAAGGCAGCUGGCCGGGCCUGCAUUGACGCUGAGGCA